UUCAAUUAUUCUGUAUAUAUAUAUUAUUUAGAGAUUGUACAUAGAAUAUCAGCCCGUUGAAGAACAGUAUAUUUGCUCGAAAGCUUGCAAAUUUAAAUCAAAAGAAAAUUUUUACCUGAUAUUGAUUUUUACUUUUUCAAAUAAUUUCUGGGUAACUAUUGGUCACACAACAAAAGCCUUUAUUAUGGACACUUGUUCCAUACAGGAGGAUUCUUCUAGAUCAGGGCUCGGCAACCUGCGAGCCACAUGUGGCUCUUUGGAUGUGAAGUUAUGUGUAGUACUUGUGUAAAUAGAGUUUUUAUUUAUGCGAGUACUACAAGGUAGUCCCAAUAUUAUUCGCCUUUAUGUAUAAUGUCUUUGUUGUGUCUGGAUGCUAUAUUUAUGGCGAACUAAAUAACUUAGUCCCUAUUUCUGCUCCGCGCUUAUGGAAUUGAAGACUUGGGGCGAUGACGUCGGCCUUUCAUAUUAAAUCUUACUUUUCCUUAUUACUAAUAAUUGUAUAUAGUUGCGGAACUACUGGUUUCCUGUGCUGCUCUUUUCCUGUUAUUGCACCUUGUACGGAGAAUCUGUAUAAGACUAAUGUCUUAAUAAAGGCUUUGUGUGUGUGUGUAUAAUGUCUUUGUAUUAUGUAUAAAGUAAUUGUAUUAUGUAUUAUUAUGUAUUUGCCAUAAUAAUAUUAUUCACCAAGUAAUAAGAAAAACAACGUUUUAAAAAAAAAACUUUUGGGACAACCUUAUAUUUAUUGUUGGCAAGACAAAAGUGUGUGUGUGUUGUGGCUCUAAAAAAAACUUAGAAAUUUUAUAAAUGGUAAUUUUUUACUCUUCUAACUCAAAGGUUUGCCGACCUGUACUAGAUGGUUAAACAGAAGAAACAGUUAUAUACAGAAAGUGGUGAAUAACAUCAAUAUUUCCUCAAGUUGGGUCCCUCUUCUAUGUUAUGCCUAUUGACUAUGCUGCUGUUCCCCAGAAUUUGUGAAAAUCCAAUGCAUUGGUCCUGCUUUUCACUACUUUUUCCAAUAAAACAUAAGGCGAAUUGUUUUCAUACGCAAUCUUUUGGCGGAGAAUUACUCUCUCAUCCUCCAAAGCCGGACAGUAAAACGUGUAGUACUUUCCAUUAAUUGAAUAAAUUGACAAUAUGACAUCAUUUCCUUAUUUCGUAAGCUAACAGGUGAUAGUGUCAUGUCCAACCAAUGAUCAUGAUAAAUCAUGUCGGAUUUAAGAAAUAGCCGGUCCCGUGGUUAGGCUUCCAAUCGAGAAGUGAUUGUAUAUACAAGUUAUCUACAAAUCGCUUGAAAUCAACACGUAACAAUAAAUAUGAAUAUAAUUUUUUUUUUAUAUAAAUAUACAAAAUGUGUGUGCGACCUUUUUGGGUAAAAUGGCACUAUUCGUAUCUAAACAUACUCUUUUUUCAUUCUUUUUUGGAAUAAGGGAAAACUGGGGCUGUUAUGGGGAAUGUGAAUUUACCGAUUUUAUCCUUUAUUACAUAGGUAGAGAAAUAUUCAGAACUCUUGUCUUAUAUUAGAUUCUUUCAAACAACCUCACGCUCGAAAACAAUUGAGUUUUCAUUAUUGGAGAAUCUAUAUUAUAAAAAAGAUGAAAAGGUUGUUCGUUUGUGUGCUUGCUUGGUAUGCAUACGUUUCCACAUUACUUGACUUACCCAGAUGAAAUUUUGACCCCAUAUAAAGUCUGCAAGAAGUAACUGUCAUAGUUUUCACCCUGAAAUAUACUAUUUAGUCUGAUAAUAGACGAGUAUGUAUAUUUCCUUUGAAACUCAAUUAAAAGUAUCAGCCGUUUUUGUGGCGUAAUUGGCGGCAGGCAUUCCCGGAUGCAUGCCACAUUAUGUCGACGUUAUGUGUUAAAACCCUUACAAUCGUUUAUUAUUAGAUUUAAUUAUAUAUCGAUUUAAGACUACACCAGGGAGCCCUAAAUUUUAGGUAAAUUUAAAAUUGAAACUUAAACCUGGUGUUUUAAAAAUCAACUGACAAAUGUAUAGGUACAAAUUUAAAAUAUUCUUAAAUUAAAGAAAAUAAAAUAGGUAUUAACAUUAAUUAUUUAAAAAAACGAUCCAUUUUUAUCGUAUUCGAGAGAGAAAGAGAGAUGUUUUAGUAUCUAUUUAUUAAGUUUUAACAUCAAAUAUUAUAAGAAACUAUUACCUUAAGUGAUAUCUAUUAUAUAUAUAAAAGUUUUUUCCGUCACUACUACUAUUAAUGCUGAAAAUUAAUAUACAAUAAAAUAUAUCUUGGUCAAUACAAUAUUGUACGAGCAAACAUUCACUUAUAAGGAUCCCUCAAAUGUCAGAUCAUUCUUAUAGUUAUGGAUAGUUUGUAGCUUCAAGUUGGUGGUCCAAUUGGAUAGUAUCUUUCUAUCACCGCUCUCCCAACAACUUUAAUAUGUGGCAUCGUACAGUAUUCGUUAUACGUAUGGCUCUUCUUUUCUCUCCGAUCCCUAAUCGACCUUCCAGCAGCAACAUGGUAUUGCCUCUUCUGGUAUUUCGUUUACUACUGGCUGCUCUACUCAUCCACCUCGCUAGCAUCAGCUUCCUGCUCUCAUUCUAUUGUAUGUCUAUUCUAGUGAAGUAGCGAAGGCUGCAAGUUCCAUCUUGAGGUGGGCAAUGCCAAAUCGACCUGUAGGAAAGAACUCUGGCGGUCCAUCGUUGGCGGAUUUUUCCAGAGGUGGAAGACACAAAUGAAGACAUUGUAUAUUUAUUUUAUGCCAAUAUUAUUUAUUUUCUUAUUUAACAUCAUUACAUAAUAUUAUAGGAACGAUUUAAUGAGAGUGCACUUUUCAAUCUCAAUCUAUCCUACUAACAUUUUUCUUCUUUAUAUCUUCUAUUCUUUCUUCUUUUCUUUAUUACUUUAGCUUCUUCUUGUGCAUAGCUUCUUUUUUUAUCCUUAUCUCCUAUAUACUAGCUUAUUUUUAUUAUCUUUUUUCUAUCGUUUUUCUUUUUUCCAUUGUCUUCUUCUACUCUUUUACUAGCUCAUUUUCUUCUUUUUAAAACCAUCCUUUAAAAACACAAGUUAUCUUUAAACAUAAGGCAAAAGCGAGCCUUCUAUGUUCAAGAAAUGAAAUAAUUAAAAGCACGAAUUUUUCUUGUAAAGUCGAACAUACCUCCUGCUGUUCUUAAAGCGGUGUUCUUGUAGAGUUGACUUUACCGCGGCACAUGUUCUUGCGAAGUCUAGCCGGCAAAAUUACCAUGUUAUGGGAUUCGAAACUGGAAUCUUCUGCCUGUAGUCAGACACGCAGCAACACGCCGAUUGGGCUUUGAGAGAAUUGUUUAUAAUAAACAAUGAAAUUAGAAUAUACUCUCGUAGGUGUCAGAUGUAAAUGUACGCGCUGAGUAGACAAGAAACCUACAAGUAUAUAUAAAGGCAGUAUGCAAGAAUUAUAGUAUGCCAAUUAUUUGUCAAAAGUAUGCCAAUUAUUUGACGAACAUAAGCAGUUUUAGGAGAGAAUAAUGUUGUUUAUUUGUUAAGUGAACUGAUCUUCCAAACCUCAUUGGACGAAUGUGGCCAUGUUUGUACAUAAAAAAGGUUCAAAGGGAAUGCGAGGACUCUUCCAGUAGGGAUUGAGUGGAGACGUCGUUCUCUGUGUCAGGUGAUCUCACAUACCUGUGUAACCCCGGUCCGUUCAUUAUCAACGCUGCAAUAAAAGAUAAGUACAGGUUUUGUUAUAACUUAUCGUGUUUUUUAUUUACGUCCUUCCUUUUUAUUUGCUGUACUUUUGAAUGUACGCGUUUCUGUGUAAAGUUACUUUUAGUUUAGACCCUAUUACAUUUUUGUUUGCGUGUAACCCGUUUAAAAAAAUUCUGUCAAUAUGUUCUCAGGUUAAACUGGUUCUCAUAAUUCCUCGGUAGUAUAGUGGUUAGUAUUCCCGCCUGUCACGCGGGCGACCGGGGAGCUUUUUUUUUUUCUUUCUUCUAUUGGUCGUGUAAAAUGGUACACUCGGAAUAAACAAAUUAUUACAAUAAACUAUACAUCAAUAACCUAUCGCUCUCUAUCACUGAAAAUCAGAAACAUUUUUAACAAUAUAUUUUUAAAUAUGUAUUUAAAAUGUAUUUCUCUACAACCUUUUAUUCAUUGCUGUAAAUUUAUAGUUACUAGUGAACGUUUAGGGAUUUAAAUAGAGCAAAUAAGUUUUUCUUCUCGCGUGGGGAGAGAAGUUUUCCACCUUUGUACCUAGUUGUGUGGCAAGCGUUACCUACCUAUACGCGUUAAAUGUCUAGAAAUGGCCAUGGCGCGUGCUCUGUUUUAAUUCUAUAGUUUUGUUAAUAUAAGACUUUGAUUUUGAGAAAAGAGAUUGGUUUUGGUUGUUUUAUAGUUUCUCUUGAAUGAUGUCUGAAUACCAGGUUAUAACCAUAAAUCCACACACACACACGUUCCAUUCCCCAUUUAGACUUCCUCAUAAAUUAUUCGUUUUUAUCUGCGUCUAUUUCAAGCAUACUUUCACAUGUUUCUCGGAAUCUCUGUUCAAGUGUGUAAGGUAUCUAGAAACAAACUUGAUCAACUUUUUAUCCAAUUUCAGAUUUUCAUAAAUUAUGGAAUGAAUUAAUCCCCUUUUAAAGAGCCAACUCACUAUAUCUGAAAAUUCCUAUAGGUGUAUUUAUUUAAAUGUUCGGCAAUAUUUCCUUCAAAUUAACUUAUAUUUGUUUCUAUUAUUUUUACCUAUAAGCCUCCGACUCUUGUAUCAUCUUAGUCUGAGAUUCAUCCAUCUUUGAAAAAGACAUGCCAUUCAUCGGCUGCCACUUUUAGGAAUUCAUUUGGAAGCGUUGACAACGUUUCUAUUGCUGGAAUUCCAUUGUGUCCAUUUCGUUGCUUGGAAUUAUUUAGUAUCACAGAAUACCGACAGUAACGCGUUGUUAGUAAUUAAAAAUUAACUUGUUGGGAUGAUGUUUAAUAAAUAUUUAUAGAGAAAAUAAUGCACGCGUUUUUAAAGGCUUACGCAACUGGUAAAUACGGGGCAUUCAUGUUGUCUGCGCGCACAGUUAGAUUUUAAAGAACAAAUAAUCACAUCCAUUUCGGCGAUUUAAGGGCAGUACCUGGUACACUCUCUAAACUCACUCACUAAACCUUUCAACUUAAUUCUUGACGUUUUGGCGAACCAUUUGUAGGAAUCCAAAUUUCAAUAAUGGGAUUUUGUUGCCAUUGUUCACCCAAGUUACCUAAGAUAUGAGAUGAGAGAGAGAGAGAAUAUAUCAAUAAUUACUUAUAUUUAUGUUAUUUGGUAAAAGAUACCUUCACACACUGGUUUAGUAAGCAGCUUCUUGAGCAUCUUGAUAUAAAGGUGAGCCAUGCCGAUGUAUGAAAACAGCCUGAAAACUCCUCCCAAAUCUGUAUGGAAAUCUACUGUCCUCAAAGCUUAUGUCCAUAGUUCAUCUAAAAUACCCAUUCCAAGAGUCUAGCAACAGUCUCACUAUAAAAGAUAGAUCGAAAAAAUGCAAUAUACGAGCAGCGGUAUGGUAGAUUAAACUGGUGGUGGUGUCUUGUCCAAGGAGCAGAUCAGAUUGCUCCGUGCACCCUGAUCACCGGCCAACAAAGGUUGCUCCAUGGAAUGUGGGGUGACAUUGCCCCGUUAAUCAGCCACAUUUCAGAGUUCCCUGUUCACGGUUACCGUAGCAGCUCGGGACUCACGACACCGUACUACAGGGCAGUCCCUUACUUACUUGUGCUGCUUCUCCCGCCAACCACGUACAGUAUUUACGUUAUAAGUGAGGCAAUUGAAAAACGAGUAAGUCCGAGUCCAACUUUGCAACGUUAUGUUUUGUUCUUUCAGAGGAAUUAUGCUCUUGUGAUAAUAAACAGAAAAAACUCUAUAUCAUUAUGAUACGAAAAUAUAUAACAAUAAUAAAACUAACGGAGAAUAUAACUCUAUGACUAUUGUUUUUAAAGUUUCUUUCCUAAUUCGAACUUGGUAACUUAGAUCUAUAGUCAAACAUGAUAUCCAUUGUUGCGCCACACCCCUACUACAUUCUGUCUCUCUUUUCUGUAAAAUACAAGUGUAUAUCAAACGUCUAUAUCAAAAGAGAAUCAUACGCGUCUAUAAUAGUUUCGAAUUUUCAUAACAGAUGGCGCUCUAAUGCAUCAUAAUAUCAAAAGAGUAAGUAUAUAGUAAAAGGUAGACGAGGAGUAGAUAGAAAGUAUUCAGGAAGUAGACAAUAAAUCCAGUCAGAACACGGACAUUUAUCAUGUUGUAGAGUUUCUAACGUUAUAUAUAAAUAGGAGGAAUCGCGGUAUAAUCCAUGGAAGCAUCCAUAGUCCCCUGUGUUAUAGGACAGAAUACCUUGUAAGGUGUACAGUACUAUUUUUUAAAGAGAAGUAUAAAAGGAACGUAAAACACUACAAUCUUACAUAUACCAUCAUAGAUAUGGAGAUGUGCAUCAAUACAUGUCAGUGAAACACAGAGAAGAGCGGCGUAUUACGUUGUAAACACUUAUAGAACAGAAUAAGAACCAUAGCAAUACGUUUCUUUAUUUGUGUAAAGGGCAAGCUUUCGGAUCUUUAUAAUCCUUCCAUAGGUAUAGCUAUAAGUUGAGAGAAUGAGGAUAUAUUAAAAUAUACAAUAUUAUUUACAUAUAUAUUCAAUACUAUAUAUAGAAUACUAUGUAUUUGAUCUUCGCAACAAUACCUUUUUUUUUUUUAAAUGCGAACUUUUAAUUUUUCAAGCUGAAUUUUCGCAUUAAACAUGCAUUUACCUUUAAAAAUUAACUACUUUAAAUAAAUAUGUAAGUUAACUCAUUUAAAAUUUGAAUUGUAUAAACGAGUUAAAUAAUAUAUUAUUAUUUAUUUUUCUCAAAUAAAACGAAUGUGUUAACGACUUCAAAAAACACCACGGUGUUGAAAGUAAAAUAGUUCUGAAAUCUUCCGAUAGGUGGCAGGAGAUGUCCAUGAUUGUUUGUAGUAAUAUUGAUGGUCCCUUUCGAUUGAAAACUGAAUUAGUGAGGUGAAUCAAUGUAUACAUACUUAUUGUUUUAUAAUUUUCGAAUAAAUCCUGUGAGGAGAAUAAAAACAUAAUAUUUUCAAAUAUUACUCAUAUAUACCCACUCAUGGACAAAACUUAAGUUUCAUAGUUUGAGGCGCUGGUCGUCUGAUUUUUUUUUUUUUUUUUUUUUUUAAAGGAGACAGAGGCAAUUUUGUUCAUAUUUGGUGUUAUCUCGUGUGUCUUCAAUAAAGGUCACUGUGUACCAAAUAUAUUUCAGAUUUAUUGUCUGAAUCGCGAUAUACAUUCUAAAAGGUACAACUUAUUUAGGUCUUGUUCCCACAUUAAUGCAUAUAUAUUUCGUUUAUUUUUGCUCCACUAGAUGGCGCUCUGCCAUCUAAAAAGCACAUGUGCUCGUGGUCAGGAGAUGCCUUUUUAUUUUUAAUAUCAACACCUGCCCCACUUAUCUUUUAUUUUUUUCUAUUGUUUUUUCAUAUAUAUAUGUGCGAACCUUUUUCUCGAAAAAAAAAAUUCUAAAUAUCCAUCCAUAAAGUCAAACAAUUAUCAAUUCUUGUUAAUCUUGCUGGUAUCAAUGCUUGGUGUGCGAUGAAAAGGCACUUUUAAAUGUGAUUUUAAAACUGAAGUAUUUCUUUUACCCACAAACUCCAAUAAGAUAUUAUACAAUGCAAAAUAUCUAAAUAAACUUCCCAUACAUCAUCCUACAAUAGUGUGUCUAUAUAUCAUGUGAAUAGUUAUUUGUUCCAAAUAUAUCUGGAUUUCUCUUAUAUGUGACAUUUUAAGACCAAGAAAAAGAUAGACAUAUUUCUCUACCGUCAAAAUAGACAUACAAACUUUGUGCCAUUUAUUGACAGUCUACGUAAACUAGCAGACUUGGAUCAGUUAGGAAAAUCUACAAUUCCUCCCUGGCAACUUCUGAACGCUUACCUAAAGACCAAGGGUUCUGGCUAAAUGGCUCUCGUCAGUUCAAAACCGUUUUGUGUGAUUCAGGAGAACUACCAUCUACUUUGUUUUUAUGUAUAAAGAGGAAAUAAUUCCUUAUGAUGAAAUCUCAAUCUAUGUUCUUAAUAUAGAAUUGGCCCUACACUUUGCCAGCUGAACACUCAUUUCAAAAUAUUUCGUGAUUCACUAGAUGAAAUCAAAACAGCCUUAGUCGGUCAAAAACCAUAGUCCGAGAUCAUAGUCACCAACCAGAUAGGCGUUCACAUAUUGUUAAAUCUGGUGUUGUGACUGUGUGUCACUGAACCGAAUCCAGGGGUUGUAGAGACGGUCCUCUGAUAUAGCGCUGAGUUUUACUGCUUUUUUUUUUUUAUGUGAAAUGGGUGUCUUUUGUUUUGUAAACUAAUGAGUGGUACUUACUAAAGACAAACAUUUCAAAUAGAACGCUUUUUCCCCAUUUCUAAAAAAAAAAAAAAGAAUAUCAUAUGUCUUUAAUGUUGAGGUAUUUAACAAACAUAUUAAUUAGUUUUACCUAAUCAUUUAUGUAUCAUAUAAUGUCUUGUAAUAUUUAAGGGAUAGAAAUUGUAAAAGUUGGAAUAUAUCCAAAACGAUGUUGAUUUUUCGAAUAUCAAUAUAUGUAAAUGGUAGAAGAGAUGUCAAAUAAAGAGAAGUAUUACCACAUCAAAUAUACUUAACACUAUUUAAAAAAAAAAAAAAACACUAAUUAACACUUAAUUAACACUAUUUAGUUUGAGAUCGUUGGUAAAAAUAUAUAUAUUCUUUACUAAUAUAGGCAUGGUUAACAUUCUAAAAAUUUCCGUUUAUAUCUAAUAAUUCUAAAUUGAGUUGCGAACCAUUUCUACUUAUUGUCUAUAGAAUGUACAUGGCUAAAUUAGAAUA